rnacentral:rRNA from 1 species
UUCUAAGGGCGUUGAAGCAUGAUCGCAAGGACAUGUGGAGCGCUUAGAAGUGAGAAUGCCGGUGUGAGUAGCGAAAGACGGGUGAGAAUCCCGUCCACCGAUUGACUAAGGUUUCCAGAGGAAGGCUCGUCCGCUCUGGGUUAGUCGGGUCCUAAGCUGAGGCCGACAGGCGUAGGCGAUGGAUAACAGGUUGAUAUUCCUGUACCACCAUUAUUCGUUUUAAGCGAUGGGGGGACGCAGUAGGAUAGGCGAAGCGUGCUGUUGGAGUGCACGUCCAAGCAGUGAGAUUGAGUGUUAGGCAAAUCCGGCACUCUUAAGAUUGAGCUGUGAUGGGGAGAGGAACUUGUUCCUCGAGUCGUUGAUUUCACACUGCCGAGAAAAGCCUCUAGCUAGAAUAACGGUGCCCGUACCGCAAACCGACACAGGUAGUCAAGAUGAGAAUUCUAAGGUGAGCGAGCGAACUCUCGUUAAGGAACUCGGCAAAAUGACCCCGUAACUUCGGGAGAAGGGGUGCUCUUUGAGGUUCACGCUUCGAAGAGCCGCAGUGAAUAGGCCCAAGCGA